rnacentral:rRNA from 1 species
AUUGAACGCUGGCGGCAUGCCUUACACAUGCAAGUCGAACGGUAACAGGUCUUCGGAUGCUGACGAGUGGCGAACGGGUGAGUAAUACAUCGGAACGUGCCUAGUAGCGGGGGAUAACUACUUGAAAGAGUGGCUAAUACCGCAUGAGAUCUACGGAUGAAAGCAGGGGAGCGCAAGACCUCGUGCUACUAGAGCGGCCGAUGGCAGAUUAGGUAGUUGGUGGGAUAAAAGCUUACCAAGCCGACGAUCUGUAGCUGGUCUGAGAGGACGAUCAGCCACACUGGGACUGAGACACGGCCCAGACUCCUACGGGAGGCAGCAGUGGGGAAUUUUGGACGAUGGGCGAAAGCCUGAUCCAGCAAUGCCGCGUGCAGGAUGAAGGCCUUCGGGUUGUAAACUGCUUUUGUACGGAACGAAAAGCCCCGGGUUAAUACCCCGGGGUCAUGACGGUACCGUAAGAAUAAGCACCGGCUAACUACGUGCCAGCCGCCGCCGUAA